AGCGCCCUGCUGGGGUCCCCAUUUCCACAUCCCAAAGACGUCACAGACAGCCUGUCGUGCGCAUCUAUUAGAUGGCACGGGGGUGCCUCGGCCACUCCACUCGGGGUCUGCACAACCUGGGGCCGCUGGGCCCCGGGGAGCAGAAAAGUGAUGAUGACCGAACUCUGUGAGACUUGGAGGUGGCGCCUCUGCGGGACUCUGAAGCCCACGUUGCCUUGAGGUGUGGGAGGAUUUAAGCAGUGGAACAGUUAGAUCUAGACGUAAUGUGUGUGAAGUAUGAUCCCGACUCUCUUUAUUGGAGAUUGAGACUCUGGGCUGGGCCUGGGAUAAAACCACUUUUCCAGAACUCCCAGUGAAGGUUUGUCUUGGGACCAGACAUAGGCGAUGCGACCCUCUGGGCUCUUGCCCCGCACAGCUCGUGAUGCAAAGAGCUGGCCGAUUACUACUUUGGUCUCAAUGGGUGGUCAGAAAGGGUCAUCAAGGUUCCAGAAUUUUGUGACCUCGAAGGAAGGGAAUGUGCAUGUUGUCCCCACUGCUUGAGAAGCAAAGCCUGAAGAUUUAUGUUUUAGAGGUGGUGAUGUCACCCUAUGAGCACCCGGGUCCUGGAGGUGGCCUUGCAGGGGAGCCUUAAAUGAGCUGGAGGGAGGACCUAUGCCAUUCCUUAUAAAGAGGAAGAGUGGCCCAGAAGCUCGCUGUUCAGAGGCUUUGUCAGGUCCCUGGCCACCGUGAUUUGGACACAUUCUGCUGAGACAUGGAUCCAGUCUGUUUCACUCGUGGCACUGCCGUACUGGAUGAACGCGACUCCUAAGGAUCGACUGUUUCCACGUGAGCCCUGGAAGCGGUCCUGCUCGGAGUGGUAUUGUAUUCCCGACUGCGUUUUACACUGGGGUGAGCAUCACAGGCUAUGCUCAAAGGAAACUUGAUGAGGAGCGGAGAGUUAGUUCCCUGACGGCUUUGACGCUGAGAGAUCCUAGCUGAGGUAGCAGAGGCCCCAAGUGCUUGGAAGAGGUGGAUCGGACUCUUCUCAGCCUGGGCAGCGCCCCCAGUGAAAGUCUGGCUCCAGUGGUCAUGAGUUGGAAUUUCUCAGUGUCGACUCUCAGCGACAGCCUGACCCUCGAUUCCUCUUGUUGGCUGACAGACACCCAUGCAUGCUUGUCUAACGCGAAUGUGUGCUUCAUGGCCGUGGUAGCCAGCUGUGCAUCUCCGUAGCUGUGCUAGUUGAAUUCAGGAAGUGAUCUUUGUGUUCAAACACUUGGUGGACAGAUGGCAAGGUAUAUGCCCAUGUGUCACAUUAACAACAGCAUUCGUACAGUGUCAAUUGUACUAAUAGCCAAUAGCCAAUUCGGUACAGUGUCACCUGGGAAUCUGCUUUUACAACUUUGGGAGGAGGUUGAAAGUGAGUCAUCGGGCAACUCGGCUACCAAUGAUGACUUGAACCAUGUGUGCCAAAGAAAUUGUGACAACGAGAUGGAGCAAGACAUACGGACAGUGAAGUACAGGAUGAUACAGAUGGGGAAGAAAACAGUGAUGUAAAUCAACAUUUGACUAGUCAAAAUGGCACAGAACGGUCAAGUAGAUUUGAAUGAUCCAACGUUAGAACUAGGUCAGAAAAUGUGAUUAGGUUCUUGCCUGGGGUGAAACCUACUGGACAGAACGCCAACUCUGCGAUUCAAUGUUGGGAAUUGUUCCUGAUGGACGAUAAGCUGCAAGAUGUUGUGAAAUACACUAAUAAUGAAAUACAGGUGAAACAUUCUGUAUGUACCAAAAAUAAUCAGAAAUAUACUGAUCAUGACACCUCCCCGUCUGAACUAGAAGCCUUCACAGCAGGACCUUAUCAUUUUAAUCAUCAGAAUCUAAAGGCUUUAUGAAGAAGUGACAGAUGUGGCGUUUUUUUAGAACAAUGACACUCAAGAGAUUUUAUUUCCUUCAAAAUUGCCUACAUUUUGCCUGGCGUAGUGGCCCAGGCCUGUAAU